AGUGGGCGGGUGUUAAGAAGCGCGGUUUGGCGGGUCAUGUUUCGGAGGACGCAUGACUCAACCUUCGCCUCCCGAGCGCUUUUGGGGAGUUGCAGCGAUAAGAUCGAAAUUGGGGAGAAAAAGGCGGUAAAAUGCCCAAAAAAUAAAACGGUAUGUCUGAUAUAUGAAACAACUUCCUCAUAGCUAUUCAAAUGGGUUCAAGAAGAGGCUGCCUGACCUUUUGGCUCAAAUCACUUGUGCCACAAAUGAUUUCUUUGAAAACCUGGGCAUUGUUCAAAAUGCUGGCAAAACGCCUUCAAAACGCCUCUUCCACAAAGAAAAGAGGCAACCACUUCCUCGUGCCUCACAAAGAUUGUCAGACGGACUCGCUGAACUGAAUCUUGUCACACCAGAGCACAGUCUGUGUUCUGUCACCUGAAACAACAUAAUGCUGUUCCUAUUAUUUUGUGGUGGAUGUUUUGCAUUGUCUGCAGGGCAAACCUUUGCUCCAACACCUUCAAUGGGACAAGUGAACAGCACAAUACAGGUAACAACACCUCCAACUCCAUAUGUGGACCCACCUUUUGGUACUGAAGCAGCGACAAGUGGAUUUGCAAUUCUUCGAACAGUUGUCACUUCUUAUCAGGAGCUAAAUGAGACGACAGUUGAUCCAGUCUUGAGUCAGCUCUAUGACAUCAUUGGUGCGCAGCAACCUGAUCUGGACUUUCAACUGACUGUGAAAACUGUCCAGAAGGUUUGAUGGAUUAUGAUUCAAUGCAUAACAGGUUAACGUUUUUAUGGUACAUCAUGUGCUGCAACUUAUACAGUAUGCAGAUUUGAACUAUUAUACUACUUACUGAAUUUUAUAUGAUUUUUUAUUCUGUUUCAGUAAUUUAAAAAAAAGUGAUGCUACAGAGGUUUGUAUAAUUUCAGCCAGUAGCUUUUGAAAGUAGCUUUUACGAGCCAUUCGACUCGGAAGUGCAAGUCGGGAACUUGGGCCUCUUUCUAGAGCUCCGACUUUCCGACCUGAAGGUCACUAACGUCGUGAACCUUUCAGCGUUCCCAGUUGUCUUGAAAGCACCAUUAAUCCAGAGAAUGCCAGAGUUUGAUGACAAAGUUUGAUGACAAAGUUUGCCCACAAGAAGGACUGCAUUGCCACCUGUAUGUUGUGUAGUAAGCUGUUAGUAGCCCAUGUGUGUCACCCUAAGUCACACCCUUUCCCUCUCAGAAUUUAGCCUAGUGUUCUGACUUGGUGGACUGAUUAGCCUGUUUUAGAGAAAUGUCAUCAUCGAAUAUUGUAAGAGCUUUCAUUGUCUCCUUACAUGCCCCCGUUAUUUAUCCUACAGUUCUGACUUGGUAUACAGGGAAAAUACUGUAAGAACGGCUGAUGUUCUGAAUGCUGUCUCUGACCAUUUCAAAAUUGUUGGACAAAUAGGCAUAUCAACUACAUCUGUUUUGGCUUGCUCAUCAUUAAUGUCUAAAUCGAAAUUACGGCUUGCCUCUUAUCCACUCAUCGUUCCCUUAUGCCAUAGUUUGUACGUCUCAAUUGCUAUAUUUCUUAUAUAGGUCUAUCUCAUUAGUAUCUAAUAAUUUUAAGCAAUGUUGGAAUUAUGCAUUAUGUUUUGCUUACUUUGUGUAUUAUAAUUAGCUCAUGUGCUUUUCUCCGCUAGGAGGGGAUACUAUAUAAUGUUGUUGGGUUUGUAACCAUGUUUCCCAGUGACAGUCUCUUCCCAUUCAAAUAUUUUGUUUUCAACAAAAAGUUCAGUAAUAGACCCAUGUGAUUCCAGUUGAUAUUUGGAGGGUUGUUUUGUUUGUGCAAUGCGCUGUCUGUGCAUCGGUAUAUUGUCUAUAAAAGUGGAUCUUCAUGAUUGUGUUUUCCUUUUUUUUAGACCACAAUAGGCCUAAUAAAAUACUUCA